rnacentral:rRNA from 1 species
AUGAGUUCUAAUAUGCAGCGCCAAGCAGUUCCGCUUUCUCGGUCCGAGAAAUGCAUUGUUGGAACUGGAUUGGAACGCCAAACAACUCUAGAUUCGAGGGUUUCCAUUAUAGCCGAACACGAGGGAAAGAUCAUUUCUACUGAUAGUCAUAUACUUUUAUCAAGUAGUGGGAAGACUAUAAGUAUUCCUUUAGUUAACCACCGUUGCUCUAACAAAAAUACUUGUAUGCACCAAAAACCUCGAGUUCCACGGGGUAAAUCCAUUAAAAAGGACAAAUUUUAG